rnacentral:miRNA from 1 species
AGUGUCUAGUCUAGUGCAAACA